rnacentral:piRNA from 1 species
UGGUCUUCUGUCGAUGUGUCCUCGUC